rnacentral:lncRNA from 1 species
AACAAGGUUGGAAUUGAAUUGAAAACACAAGUAGCAAGAGGAGCAUAUAUUCAACUGAAAUUUCCAAACAAAACUAGUUAGUUAUUAUAACAUCAAAUCAUAUAACAUUCAUUCAAUAACAUAAUAACUAAAUAGGAUAGGUAACUUAACUCUCAAGUAAUAACAAUAAAAAAGACACUCGUUCUUCUUCACAGUAAACUCACCACUGGACAUUCUUCUACCAAUUUUCAUACAAAUUUAGUGCAAUUCUGUUUCAACUUAAACAUCAAAAAACAACAAGCAGUAUAUCAGCAAUUCUGUUUCAACAUAAACAUAAAUAAAAGAGCAGAAUAUCAUUCGUCAGCAACAUCAUUAGAUGGAAGCUCAUUCAAAUCGAAGUUACGAACAACUCUUGGCCCCAAUUCGUUAUGCGAUUCUAUAUCUGCUUUACCUUCAGUCACAUUGCUUGAAAGUUCCAUGCUCUUCUCAACGGAUCCGCGAGACUUAUUAUUAGAAACUCCAUGAUGAAUAAGAUAUCUCCUGCUCCUUUUCUUGGUAUUAUACGAUCUUGGUGGCAAAUAACUUAACAAGUCAACAGCUGGUAACUCUUCUUGUUGACAAGGUUCCAAUGCAGUAGGUGGAUGAUGAACGGUACCCUUCAAAACCCUAGUCCAUGAAUAUCUUUUCUGUUUGGUUUUAUC